GGGGAAUAUUGGACAAUGGGCGCAAGCCUGAUCCAGCAAUGCCGCGUGAGUGAUGAAGGCCUUCGGGUUGUAAAGCUCUGUGGGGAGGGAAGAAAAAAGCGGGCAAGAAACGGCUCGCUCUUGACGGUACCUCCUUAGCAAGCACCGGCUAACUCUGUGCCAGCAGCCGCGGUAAUACAGAGGGUGCGAACGUUGCUCGGAAUUACUGGGCGUAAAGCGCGUGUAGGCGGGCGAUCAAGUCAGGUGUGAAAGCCCUGGGCUCAACCCAGGAACUGCACUUGAAACUGGUUGUCUUGAGUACUGGAGAGGGAAGCGGAAUUCCUGGUGUAGAGGUGAAAUUCGUAGAUAUCAGGAGGAACACCGGUGGCGAAGGCGGCUUCCUGGACAGUCACUGACGCUGAGACGCGAAAGCGUGGGGAGCAAA
rnacentral:rRNA from 1 species